UCUGACGGAGCACGCCGCGUGAGUGAUGAAGGUUUUCGGAUCGUAAAACUCUGUUGUUAGGGAAGAACAAGUACCGUUCGAAUAGGGCGGUACCUUGACGGUACCUAACCAGAAAGCCACGGCUAACUACGUGCCAGCAGCCGCGGUAAUACGUAGGUGGCAAGCGUUGUCCGGAAUUAUUGGGCGUAAAGCGCGCGCAGGCGGUUUCUUAAGUCUGAUGUGAAAGCCCCCGGCUCAACCGGGGAGGGUCAUUGGAAACUGGGGAACUUGAGUGCAGAAGAGGAGAGUGAAUUCCACGUGUAGCGGUGAAAUGCGUAGAGAUGUGGAGGAACACCAGUGGCGAAGGCGACUCUCUGGUCUGUAACUGACGCUGAGGCGCGAAAGCGUGGGGAGCGAACAGGAUUAGAUACCCUGGUAGUCCACGCCGUAAACGAUGAGUGCUAAGUGUUAGAGGGUUUCCGCCCUUUAGUGCUGCAGCAAACGCAUUAAGCACUCCGCCUGGGGAGUACGGUCGCAAGACUGAAACUCAAAGGAAUUGACGGGGGCCCGCACAAGCGGUGGAGCAUGUGGUUUAAUUCGAAGCAACGCGAAGAACCUUACCAGGUCUUGACAUCCUCUGACAACCCUAGAGAUAGGGCUUCCCCUUCGGGGGCAGAGUGACAGGUGGUGCAUGGUUGUCGUCAGCUCGUGUCGUGAGAUGUUGGGUUAAGUCCCGCAACGAGCGCAACCCUUGAUCUUAGUUGCCAGCAUUCAGUUGGGCACUCUAAGGUGACUGCCGGUGACAAACCGGAGGAAGGUGGGGAUGACGUCAAAUCAUCAUGCCCCUUAUGACCUGGGCUACACACGUGCUACAAUGGGCAGAACAAAGGGCAGCGAAGCCGCGAGGCUAAGCCAAUCCCACAAAUCUGUUCUCAGUUCGGAUCGCAGUCUGCAACUCGACUGCGUGAAGCUGGAAUCGCUAGUAAUCGCGGAUCAGCAUG
rnacentral:rRNA from 1 species